AUUGAACGCUGGCGGCAUGCCUUACACAUGCAAGUCGAACGGUAACAGGUCUUCGGAUGCUGACGAGUGGCGAACGGGUGAGUAAUACAUCGGAACGUGCCUAGUAGUGGGGGAUAACUACUCGAAAGAGUGGCUAAUACCGCAUGAGAUCUACGGAUGAAAGCAGGGGAUCGCAAGACCUUGUGCUACUAGAGCGGCCGAUGGCAGAUUAGGUAGUUGGUGGGAUAAAAGCUUACCAAGCCGACGAUCUGUAGCUGGUCUGAGAGGACGAUCAGCCAAACUGGGACUGAGACACGGCCCAGACUCCUACGGGAGGCAGCAGUGGGGAAUUUUGGACAAUGGGCGAAAGCCUGAUCCAGCAAUGCCGCGUGCAGGAUGAAGGCCUUCGGGUUGUAAACUGCUUUUGUACGGAACGAAAAGCCCCGGGUUAAUACCCUGGGGUCAUGACGGUACCGUAAGAAUAAGCACCGGCUAACUACGUGCCAGCAGCAGCCGCCG
rnacentral:rRNA from 1 species